GUGAACUGAUCUGAUACAUGCAGCUGUGGGUUGAGCCCAAUCUCACAUGUGAAACUGAUGCUGCUUCCUUUUUGUGCUCUCACUGUUUCACUCCUUUUCUCGUGUUUUUCAUCCUGCUGCUUUAUACUAUUUGUUAAAGGCCUCUCUGAAUUUUUUUGUGGUGCAGAUUAAAGAUGUCAAAUGAGUUGUGCAUCCAUUUAUAGAUAUUCAUUUUAUCGUUAUUACUGAUACUGUAUAUAGGCUUAUUGUAAUAUUAGUAAUAUAGGGAGUGUUUUAGCAGUUUGAUUAAAACAAUUGGGAAAUAAAAUGGUGUAAAAAGUGUUGAUGAAACAAUUCCAUACCUUGUGUUAUAACUGUAAACUGCAAAUAUUUAUAUACUUAAGAACUGUAAACGCUUUUAUAAAUAUAAAUACAUUCAAUUAUUUUGAUUAUAUAUUAUAAAAAAAAAGACUUUUAAGCACUGAGUUCAUCAUUUAAGGUUAAAAAAGAACAUAUGAUCAUACUCACUACAUUUCCCAUAAUUCCUAGCCAUGUCGUGGAGGAUUCUGGGACAGGAAACUUCCGAUUAGGUUUCUGUUUCUGCAGAUUGCUUGAUAUAAUACUCUGGAAAUUAAGAUUUAGUUCCUGUAAUAGCCUUGAUUUGAUGAACUCUUGCAAUAUUAAUAUAUAUUUUUUAAUGUAGCGGCUUCUUAAUUGUGUGGUAAAUGUGAUGUUAUUUGCACUGGGUUCAGCGAUAAUCUGUUGACAGACUGAUCGGCUGAUCUUAAAAGGGCAACACUUCGAGCGAGCGGGCCCCUCAAGGAGCUAUCGCAAGGGACUCAUUUAAGUGUGGUCUGAGUGGCACCGCUCAGCGUGAUGUCAUCCACUAAAGAAACUGUGCUGCGUCAGCGCCGCCGGGAGCUGGACGCCCGCAGGAGUAAGUCUCGCGUGCGUCUGGGCUCGUGUCUGCAGAGCUGGGCUCAACUCAAAGAUAAACUGGGCUUCUCUCUUCACUCGGAGCUUGCUCAGCAUCUGCUGGAGAGCUAUGUUUCAAGAGUUUGUAUGAAGUGUUCAGGUGAUGGGAAAGAAGAGACUGUAUCAACUACAAAGGAGUCUUUGCAGGAACUCAUCUUGAUGGUCCACAACCAUGGACAGACGUGUCCCCUUCCUCCUGUCCUGCAGUGUAGGCCUGUUCAAAAAACAAAACUAUCAACACGCAGUCAGAGUGGAAGAAUAGAGGCUGCUACUGAGCCCAAGAAAUUAGCAGAAGCGGAUGAGUGUUUUAAAUAUACAUGUGAAGAUGGACAUCAUUUUAUGUGGUGUCCUUUUAACCUGGAGAAGGUACUGAUUUCUAAAAAUGAAGGAGAUAAAAUUACAUCCGAACAAGGCAAGAGACAGAUGAAGGAACCAGUCACAGAUACAGAAAGACAAGAAAUGAUGACUAGAUUAAAAACCAGACAGCAACAGAGAGAAGAUGCUGGCACUAACACAAAUAAAAUGCUUGGACAAAAUAAAAAUGCAGAUGUUACAGAGACUCUUGAAGCACAGGACAAAAAUGAUCUGGCAUCUGAUUUUUCUUAUUCAGAGCAUGGAUCUCCAGCAGACAGUGAUGAGAUGACUGUAGAUGUUCCUGUCAGCCAUACUGAUAGCUAUGAAGAAUUUGCAGUGCUGAAUUUAACCAACAGAGGGACCCAAAGUAGUGCAGAUCAUACUGAGAAACUUAGCGUCAGCAAAAAGGCGGGAAUACUUCAAAGUAACAGUUCACAGUCGUUGAAAAAGGAUAUGUCUCAGAUUGGGGGCAAGAGGAAAAGAAAAUCAACAUCCAAAUUAAUUUUAUCUUGUGAGUUUGAUGGCUGCGAUAAGAUUUUCUCCAGUCGACAAUAUUUAAAUCAUCAUAUCAAAUAUCAGCAUCUGCAUCAGAAGACCUUCACCUGCUCGCAUCCCUCCUGCAGAAAGUCCUUUAACUUUAAGAAGCAUCUGAAGGAGCAUGAAAAGUUGCACAGUACGAGACUAUAUCUGUGAGUUCUGUGCUCGGGCGUUUCGAACCAGCAGUAACCUGAUCAUCCACCGCAGGAUACACACCGGAGAGAAGCCGCUGCAGUGUGAAGUGUGUGGCUUCACCUGUCGACAGAAAGCCUCUCUGAAUUGGCACAUGCGGAAACACAAUGCUGAGAGCACCUACCAGUUCCCUUGUGAGAUCUGCGGCCGUCGCUUUGAAAAGAGAGACAAUGUUACGGCUCACCGUAGCAAGAGUCACCCAGACUAUAAUACAGGCACUCUGGAAAGAUCUCUUCCCCUUCCUCCCUCUGACCCACUCCUGCAUCCCUCGAGGCACCGCGGAUCUUCCCCUUCUGUUUCCAAGAAUCAACCCACUGCAGAAUAAGAGUUGUGACAACAGUUUGAACACUCUUGACCUCAAGCAAUCUCUAAUGUGGGAUUGGUUGGUAAACAAAAUCUCCAUGCGGUGCCUUAAUAAUGUUGUUAGUUCUUAUUUUGUUUUUGUUUUUUAGAUUUUUUUCAGAGACCGUGAAUAGACCAUCAGUAUACACAGGUCAGUAUUUGACAAAUUGAGUACGCUUACAUGGACACCAAUAAUCUGAUCUGAAUACUAUUAAGACAAUACUCUGAUUGAUAGUCUACCAUGUAAACAGCGAGUUUUGAUUAAUUUAAUAAAAUUAAGACAUAUGCUGAUUUUAGCCGCAUUAUUGAAGUGCAGUACAGACAUGUAAACUAUGUCAAACUAUUUUCAUCAUGUAGUUUUAUCGCAUUUUGUGACAGGAUAGUCUAUACACACACACGACUGUUUGACACUAUUCUCUGCACCUACCAAGUCAGUGAAGGACCACAGACAUCUGCAUCGUGAAAUGCGGAGAUUCUUUUUUCAUUCGCCUUGAGGUAUCAAAUUCCAUUAAAAACACUUAUCCAGCAGUUCAUACUCACAUCCAAUAUCUCGUUUGUCCCAAAGAGCAUGCAUGAAAUGUUCCUAAAUGAAAGUGAAAGCUAAAAAUGUAAUGAAUUAAAGAUGAAACACCUGAAAUUAUGUGAAACUCCUGAGGAAAUGUGGAUAGCGUGCUGACGCAAUGACGUUAAUUGAAUUAUGGGCUAUAACAUGUUAAACGGAUUUAUGAAAGGAACAUUCACAAAGCAACUCAUGUAAACGCCUUAAUCAUAUUAUUGUCUUAUUCGGAUUAAGGCAAACCAUUUGAUUACUGAUGUCCAUGUAAAUUUAGUCAUUGAAUGUUUGUCUUGAAAUCCUUUUUGUUAAUGUUAUUGGGUGUCUAAAUCAGCUUGGUAAGUCGUGAUGUAUCGUGAUGUUUUUAUUUAAAACGUUUCCAGGUCCAAGCAACUACUCAUUUGAAUUAAGAAAAUUUUAGUUUGUUCACUUGCUGCAUCACAAAUACCAAAAUUUGUAACAAUUUAUAAAAAAAUAUAUCACUUUCUGGCCAUCAGAAAUUAGGCAUAGAUACAUAUAUACAAACACACACACACACAUAUAUUAUGUGUGAUCCUGAUUUUUGGAGAUAUUACAUCACUUUGUAAACGUAUCACCAUUUGAUAAGUCCCCAUACAGUUUGAUAUAGCGCUUGGACCCAGAUCGCAUGAUGUCACACUUAACAAGCUGAUACUACUAAAGGUGUCUUAAAGUGAAUGUUAAGUAAAUUUGAUCUGAUUUUUUUGCCUUAUACACAUUAUUAGUUAGCAUUUGUAAAAUAACAUUUUGUCAGAUAUGAAUGUCUAAAUAUAAAUAAAUAUGCCAUAAAUGUUA